AAAAAUUGUGUUUGAAGGCAGAAUCCUGCUGUUUCAAAGGUGAACUUAAAGAGAACAGCAAAGUUUUGGUGUGAGCUGAAGAAAAGUGGCCACAGGUGUGGGCAGGGAGCUCUGCAGCCCAAGGGGUGUUGGAGAGCAGCUGGCAGAAAGAGUCAUGAAGGAGGAAAAUGAGAAGCUCCUGUGAGUGACAUAAAACUCACAUCUGGCUAUCAGGAUAAACAAAUGAGGUGAGUAACAUAUUCUGAUUUCUUCUACCUUGUAUUUACUUAGAAUUUCUGCUGUAAGUUAGAAAAAAUGCACCAAAUAUAUCUGCCAUUCACGAAUGCAUAACUGCAAAACACCUUCUAAAGGAAAC
rnacentral:lncRNA from 12 species